rnacentral:tRNA from 1 species
GCCACCCUAGCUCAGUCGGUAGAGCAGCUGAUUCGUAAUCAGCAGGUCGUCGGUUCGAAUCCGACGGGUGGCUCCA